AGAAUAUAAUUUAGUUUUUCACACGGAGAGGACUCAAGAAGUUUUCUUAGCAGACCAGAAGGCCUGUGGGCGGAUAAGUGUUGAUAGAAAGGAGUCCUGAACCUCUCAUGGAGAAGUAAAGAACAUAUAAACUUGCGAACAGUCUUCUACUCUCCCUUAGCCAUGCAAUCAUCGAGUGAGUCUGUGCUACUCACUGAGAGCAAAGAAUCAUCACUGAACAGAGUGGGUCUCAGUGUAGUGAUGUCUGAAGGACCGACAAACAGUGGAUCUUCUAUCUAGCAGUGGUGCUUUCAGAAUCUAGCACCAGUAUUGGCAGAUCACUGUAAGCCUAUGAUUUCAAAGAGUUAGACUAUUAUUUCCUAGCCUUCCUUACAAUUCGUUGUGACCUUCAGACUGGAUCUUGUCAAAAUAUGUAAGUGGAAGUGAUGUGUGUCCCAUCCAGGCCAAGGGGUCAAGGCUAUUAAGAAGUGGAAAGGACUUCUCCACACUCUCUUCCUCCUUCCCCUUGAUGGAUUCAGUUGACAAAAAGUCUAGAGGAUGGGAGAGUCCCAAGAUGAAGGAAGCCUGGGACCCUGAACUGCCUCAAAGAAGAACAUUACCUGCCGACCUGGAAUGCUAUCUUUGAUCAUUAAAUGAAUGGAAAAUAAAGUG